UGGAAAGUAUUAAAUUUAAAAAAGAAAGAACUUUAUUUCAACUCUUCUUUUCAUGCAAUUAAUUUCUUAAUUUCUCCGCCUCUCCAGAUCUGCUUUCUUCCCUCAAGAUUUGAGCUUUCUUUACCCUCUGGUCUUUCUUCUCUCUAGCUCCCUUAUCUCUUUCAGAUCUACCAGUCGAAGGAGAAGACGACAGCGGUGGCGACGGCGCGGAAGACGACAGCGUCAUGUGUGUGCGAAGCCGGCGCCGACUCCCAGCCAGCCGAUAUUCCCAUCUGCGAUCGAUUAGUUCGCCGUUCUUCUGGAGCCAGCUCAGGGACGACGAAGCUGCUACGUUUCCGGAAUCCACCAAUCUGUUGAUUGUAGAUUUCCAGUGAGCCCAGUCGUUAUCGUCGACACGCGAUCUUCGCCGUCGCCGGAAUCCGGUUGUGGGCGCUAGCUGCCGUUUUUGACGAAGAUGCCAUACGUCUGGUUUUCCCUCCUCCAGUAGCCCACCGGACGACGUUGGGGGGGACGAAAGAUAAACAUCAUGAGUUUAGUAACACUUUAAAUAAACACCCGUUGAAGGCUCCUCCCAUCGAUGUUUAGUACAUUGCAAAAUAUGUGCAAAUAUGAAUAGGAGUCAAAAACCAUUUUCUUGACAAUCCCGAACUAGUGACACCAGAACUCUGAUUAGUCGGCACUUGAAUUCUUGUCACAAUAUGAGGAAACGAUGAAGGACAACUCGAGAGAAGACAAACACAAAUUUGUAUGUAUGCUACCCCCGACGGGGGUAUUUUUACUUAUUCAUAAGAAUUAAUGAUUGAAGAAUUUAAUAGAUUUAUAAUUGAUGAUAAAUUACCUUUUAGUCGAUCCGAAAGUACUUGUUUUGAAAGAUUUGUUGAAAAAUCUUUACAACCACACUAUAAAAAAGUACCAAGAAAUACUUUAAAACGUCCUAUCUAUAAAAGUUUUUAUAUGUCAAAAGUUAUGUUAGUUAAUUAUGUUGCAAAUUUUAAUGGUCGUGUCACUUUAACUAGUGAUAUUUAGACCUCCUCAAGGUGAGCUAUAUAUUUGUGUUACUUGUCAUUGGAUAGAUAAUAAUUGGAUACUCCAAAAGAGAAUUAUUGGUUUCGAAUUAAUAGAAGAAUCUCAUACUGCUUUUAAUUUAAAAGAACGAGUAAUAAAUGAUUUGGAUGGGUUUGAAUUAAGAAAUAAAGUUUUUACAAAUUCUUUAGAUAAUGCUUCUUCCAAUACUAGAUUUAUAUAUUUUUUACUUGAAACUUUACCUUUACAUGUUAAUGGUCAAUUAUUGCAUAUUAGAUGUUGUGCUAAUGUUUUAAAUUUAUGCGUUCAAGAAGGA